AUUGAACGCUGGCGGCAUGCUUUACACAUGCAAGUCGAACGGUAACAGGCCGCAAGGUGCUGACGAGUGGCGAACGGGUGAGUAAUGCAUCGGAACGUGCCCAGUCGUGGGGGAUAACGCAGCGAAAGCUGCGCUAAUACCGCAUACGAUCUAUGGAUGAAAGCGGGGGACCGUAAGGCAUCGCGCGAUUGGAGCGGCCGAUGUCAGAUUAGGUAGUUGGUGGGGUAAAGGCUCACCAAGCCAACGAUCUGUAGCUGGUCUGAGAGGACGACCAGCCACACUGGGACUGAGACACGGCCCAGACUCCUACGGGAGGCAGCAGUGGGGAAUUUUGGACGAUGGGCGCAAGCCUGAUCCAGCAAUGCCGCGUGCAGGAAGAAGGCCUUCGGGUUGUAAACUGCUUUUGUACGGAACGAAAAGGCUCUGGAUAAUACCUAGGGCUCAUGACGGUACCGUAAGAAUAAGCACCGGCUAACUACGUGCCAGCCGCCGCGGUAACAC
rnacentral:rRNA from 1 species